rnacentral:rRNA from 1 species
UGGGGAAUUUUGGACAAUGGGGGAAACCCUGAUCCAGCCAUCCCGCGUGUGCGAUGAAGGCCUUCGGGUUGUAAAGCACUUUUGGCAGGAAAGAAACGUCGUGGGUUAAUACCCCGCGAAACUGACGGUACCUGCAGAAUAAGCACCGGCUAACUACGUGCCAGCAGCCGCGGUAAUACGUAGGGUGCAAGCGUUAAUCGGAAUUACUGGGCGUAAAGCGUGCGCAGGCGGUUCGGAAAGAAAGAUGUGAAAUCCCAGAGCUUAACUUUGGAACUGCAUUUUUAACUACCGGGCUAGAGUGUGUCAGAGGGAGGUGGAAUUCCGCGUGUAGCAGUGAAAUGCGUAGAUAUGCGGAGGAACACC